CUCAAUAAGAAGCAGGAAUGCCUGUGCAAAGAGGGCAGGUGACCCAUGAGCUGGAGAAAAGGCUUUUGGGUUGCCCACACCCUGCACACAGGCUUGGAGAGGGUGGGAUUUCAGCACAACAUCUGUUUGCUCACAAGAGAUGCCAGUAACAUUUUGGGAAAGCCUCUUCUCUUAUGCAAUAAACUGCAGGAAAACAGUCAGAAGAGACCCAGUGUUUGGAAGAGACAGACAUGGCUGAGGUGACAUUUGUGGGGGAUGCAUCCUAAGCCCUGUGGAGGCUGCAGCACGUGCCAGAAAGCGCUGCAGACCCAGACAGGCAACUGGUGGAAGCGGGUGAGAAAAGAGCCAGCCAAAGCAGGAACACAGCCUGCAUGUGAGGAGCCUGAGGAAAAGUUCUGCCAUCAGACUCUUGCAGGUCUGGGACUGCUCUUCUCCCUCCAAACCAAAGAAAGGCUGUGUGUUUGCAGAUACGUAACACCACAGCACCUGAUAUCACCCCCAAAGGCCAUACACUUGUAUUGAUGAAUCGAGGUUUGACAGACCAGCUCCUCCUGCAGACAAGUACUCUUCUUACAGCAUAUCAGAGCAUUGUGAAACAAUGAAAUAGUUCCAGAAAAGUGAUAUACUAGGACAAAUCUGAGGCAAGCUGACAACAGAAGCACAUUCAGAUCUACAGGUCUGUGUUCUUAUAAUCAGACUGAGAGGCCAUGAAGUUUGUAAGUUUGUAAAAGUACCACAUCUUCCUCCUGUUAUUUUUAAAAUUUCUGGCUGCAACUGAUUCAGUAAAAAGCUGUUGUCUUCAGGGUUGUGAUUUUGAAUGAAAGGAAAUCCUGGUGUACUACCCUGAACGUUCUCAUAUUUAUUAAUUUCCCUAAUAAUUUACUUUUUUUUUUUUUAUUUUUUUAGCCUCUGAAAUAUGGUGAAAGACUGCUUUGUGUGUAUUUCUUAUCAGAAAUCGGUAAUAGAAGAGCUGCUCAAAUUUUAAUGGAUAAUUGUCACUUGUCUUGAUUUUUUAAACACUUCACGUUUCUUCACUGGUUUUCUGAGAAUGUUUCUGUUCCUGGUUUUCUACAGAGAUACAUAAUUAAUAAUUUCUGUGACUAAUGAAAUCAAGUUAAUGUGGCUGAUUGAUAGAACCAGACAGACAAAUUCUGAUUUUUUCUGUAAUGACUCUAUAGACUUUAAUGAAAUUUCCUUGGAUUGUGAGAACUGAGAGCAGCCUGUUUCCUGGUUCGUGCUAGUCAAGUGUUUGCCUUCUCAAUACGGGGUAGACAAAGAUUUAACCAACUAUUAGGCUUGGUGUUUUGGUCAUUGUGCCAUCUGUGUUGUUCCUGUGUCCUCCUCUCUAACCUGUUUAAUUUAAUUUUGUUUUCUUUAUUCUGUUCAUCUGAUUUAACCACUGAUCUUUUCUUCAUAGCUUGUUCCCCAGCUGCCAUGAAAUAAAUGCAUGGAAAUGUUGCAGCUGAACACUUUUCUCUUUUUCAAACUUGAAGAAAUAGAUUAAUGGGGUGAAAACAUCUGCUUAAAAACUUGCUCUAGCCUUGCUUUUCCUAAACUGAUCACUCACCUGAAUCUGUUAAUAACAGUCCUGGUUUUCCCAUCAUGUCUUCUUAUAUUCCCACCUCUUUUUAUCUUGCAUACAUGCAGGCUUUCCAUGCCAAGAGAUGGGACUGUAUAAACAUUGACUCCAGUUUGUGCAACAUAAUUUUCUCAUUAAAACCCCCAGAUUUCAUGCAGAACUACUUGAUGAGAUGGGAGAGGAAAAUUCUAAGUCUUGGACAAUACUCCCUAAGCACAGGGAAAUUUCUUACUGUCUAUAAUAAUCGUAUUAUGUUACCCAUGUAACCAAGAUUAUAUGAUCAGUCCUUAAAUAAGUUAAAACAUCAAGGUCCAUGGUGUUUUAUAAUUUCAAGUAUACCACUGCGUGCUUGCAAAAUAUAUAUUUUACAAGUACCAAAGCCAGCAGCUAAAAUGUACAAGAUAGCUAUUCAAAUAACAGCUUUCAACUGUUUGACCAAAAAAAGUCAUGGUAAAAAAUAUCUAUAAAACAGACAUUUUCACUUUACAUUUUUAAUGUAUCCUGAUGCCUGAAUGUUGCACAUCCUACGAUAGCACUUGCAUUGAAAUCCACACAAUGAAAUGUGACGUGUCAGAUCAAUGAAAUGAGCAGCACUUCUCUAUGUGUAAAUUGAAAAGGCAUGCAGAAAGUUUAUACAGAAAGACUUGGCAAAACAGAUAAAUUAUAUUGUUUGGGGUAUUUUUUCUGUCACUGAUAACAAAAGAGUUCGGUGGGGCAUCAAACAGUGAUAUGCCUUGUUAUUUCUUGGUCAUUUUUACAUCUUGCAAUAGUCAUUACCAGAAAAAAAUAUAAUAGAA